GAAUCAGCAAGGCCAUAUGCUCCACCUCCUCUACGUAAAACCCCAAAUGAAAACGCUUACUGUUAGCUUUUUGAGGAGUGUGGGAUUUCAGCAUUAGCUGCCCUUUCUCCUUUCUCAGUGGUGUGCAAUAAUAAAACUCCUAUUUUCUUCCACUACACCUGGUGUCAGAGAUUGGAUUGCUGUGCAACAGCUCAAAAAAAAAGAAACCCUACUUUAGGUCUUUAGUGGACAUAUACCAGAAAACAAGAUCACCAUCGUGUUAUCCAUGACCUCCUGAGUGUAUUUCUUGGUCUCAACGUGUCCUCCUCCCCAUCUCAUUCUACUCGUGUGGGAGUCUUGGACAUGGGACCCAUUUUAAUGUCAUGAUUCUGAGAUGCUUCCACAUGCUUUACUCAAAGGUCCCCAGAGGGAUGGAGUCCCAGUGGUCCAGCUAGACUAUUUGAUCUGAAUUUAUAUGCAUCAGAAUUUCCUAUUUGGGCUGUGGGAGAACAAAAAGAAUAGAGUAAUGUGGACUGAAACCAAGAGCUCCAGUGAACAUCUCUCCUUCCUGUCCCCUUCCCCCCAGUCCCACAAGUCACCAGCAGAGGUAUCAGCAGCAAAGUGCAUUGGCCAGGAGUCAGAAGAGGAGGGCAACACUGGAUUUUUUUUCUAAGUUCAUGAGAGAGACCAUCACUCUGUAAAUACCCCAAAAUACUUGAAGAAGGGAAAUCCCACAAGUGCCUGGACUUCCUACGUAUUACGUGGGGCCCUGAAAUGUAUGGAAAUGUGCAUAUUAAUGUAAAUGUGACCUCAUAUGCCAGUGAAACUUGGAAAUUUUCUUUUGCUAACUGGUUCUCAGUAUCUC
rnacentral:lncRNA from 1 species